UCUCUUUUUUACAUGAACUCCGCAUACAGAAACACCGAAAAGUGUAAUGGAAUAAGAAAAAAUAAGCACUUGGCUUACUGUGUUUUUUUACACACUCGUCUGAGCAAACGCUCUGAGUGAUCGAUUACAUACAAACAUACAAGUGCAUUUAUGUUGAUUUAAGCUCUUUAAACACCAUCAGACGGGGGAAGUGGCGACUUCUUUUCGAGACGCGGAACAGGCAUUGUAG